rnacentral:rRNA from 1 species
UGAGGAAUAUUGCACAAUGGAGGAAACUCUGAUGCAGCAACGCCGCGUGGAGGAUGACGCAUUUCGGUGUGUAAACUCCUUUUAUUAGGGAAGAUUAUGACGGUACCUAAUGAAUAAGCACCGGCUAACUCCGUGCCAGCAGCCGCGGUAAUACGGAGGGUGCAAGCGUUACUCGGAAUCACUGGGCGUAAAGGGUGCGUAGGCUGGCUUUUAAGUCAGAUGUGAAAUCCAAUGGCUCAACCAUUGAACUGCAUUUGAAACUGAAAGCCUAGAGUUCAGAAGGGGCAGAUGGAAUUAGUGGUGUAGGGGUAAAAUCCGUAGAUAUCACUAGGAAUAUCAAAAGCGAAGGCGAUCUGCUGGGAUGAUACUGACGCUGAGGCACGAAAGCGUGGGGAGCAAACA